AUGAACGCUGGCGGCGUGCCUAAUACAUGCAAGUCGAGCGAACAGACGAGGAGCUUGCUCCUCUGACGUUAGCGGCGGACGGGUGAGUAACACGUGGAUAACCUACCUAUAAGACUGGGAUAACUUCGGGAAACCGGAGCUAAUACCGGAUAAUAUAUUGAACCGCAUGGUUCAAUAGUGAAAGACGGUUUUGCUGUCACUUAUAGAUGGAUCCGCGCCGCAUUAGCUAGUUGGUAAGGUAACGGCUUACCAAGGCGACGAUGCGUAGCCGACCUGAGAGGGUGAUCGGCCACACUGGAACUGAGACACGGUCCAGACUCCUACGGGAGGCAGCAGUAGGGAAUCUUCGGCAAUGGGCGAAAGCCUGACGGAGCAACGCCGCGUGAGUGAUGAAGGUCUUCGGAUCGUAAAACUCUGUUAUUAGGGAAGAACAAAUGUGUAAGUAACUAUGCACGUCUUGACGGUACCUAAUCAGAAAGCCACGGCUGACUACGUG
rnacentral:rRNA from 1 species